AACCAACAGGGAUUGCCUCAGUACGGCGAGUGAAGCGGCAAAAGCUCAAAUUUGAAAUCCCCCGGGAAUUGUAAUUUGAAGAGAUUUGGGUCCGGCCGGCGGGGGUUAAGUCCACUGGAAAGUGGCGCCACAGAGGGUGACAGCCCCGUGAACCCCCUUAACGCCCUCAUCCCAGAUCUCCAAGAGUCGAGUUGUUUGGGAAUGCAGCUCUAAGUGGGUGGUAAAUUCCAUCUAAAGCUAAAUACCGGCGAGAGACCGAUAGCGAACAAGUACAGUGAUGGAAAGAUGAAAAGCACUUUGAAAAGAGAGUGAAAAAGUACGUGAAAUUGUUGAAAGGGAAGGGCUUGCAAGCAGACACUUAACUGGGCCAGCAUCGGGGCGGCGGGGAAGACAAAAACCACCGGGGGAAAUGUACCUUUUCGGAGGGAUUAUAACCCCGGUCCUUACUCCCACGCCACCCCGAGGCCUGCAAUCUAAGGAUGCUGGCGUAAUGGUUGCAAGUCGCCCGUCUUA
rnacentral:rRNA from 2 species